rnacentral:rRNA from 1 species
UAAAUAGCCGCAAUUUCGUGCUAAGGUAGCAUAAUCAUUUGUCUUUWAAAUGAAGACUGGAACAAAAGAUUUAACAUUUUAACUUAUUUAUUUUUAAAUAAAUAUUAAAUUUAUCCUAAAUGUAAAAAGACAUUUAUUUUUAAGAAAGACGACAAGACCCUAUUGAACUUAACUUAAGUUAAACUGGGGUAGUUAAAUAAUUAUAAUUUAUAUUUUUAAUAAAAUGUAAAUAAUCCAAUACAAUUGAGUAAUCAAGUUACCAUAGGGAUAACAGCGCAAUUAUAUUUUUAGAGCUCUUAUCUAAAAAAUAGAUUACGACCUCGAUGUUGAAUUAAUAACCUAUUUUAAGCAAAUUUUAAAAAAGGAAGUCUGUUCGACUUUUAAAAAAUUACAUGAUUUGAGUUCAGACCGGUAUAAGCCAGGUCGGUUUCCAUCUUCUUAAAUACAAUUUUACAGUACGAAAGGACCUAAAAUAUAAUUUAAUAUUUUAUUAGCAAAGUAAUGCAUUAGAAUUAGAAUCUAAUUAAACU